rnacentral:rRNA from 1 species
AGAGUUUGUUCCUGGCUCAGAACGAACGCUGGCGGCGUGGAUAAGACAUGCAAGUCGCACGGAACACUUCGGUGUUGAGUGGCGCACGGGUGAGUAACACGUGAGCAACCUGCCCCCGAGACGGGAAUAGCCCCGGGAAACUGGGAUUAAUGCCCGAUGGUCUCGCAAGAGAAAAGCAGCAAUGCGCUCGGGGAGGGGCUCGCGGCCUAUUAGUUAGUUGGCGGGGUAACGGCCCACCAAGGCGAUGACGGGUAGCCGGUCUGAGAGGAUGUCCGGCCACACUGGAACUGAGACACGGUCCAGACACCUACGGGUGGCAGCAGUCGAGAAUCAUUCACAAUGGGGGCAACCCUGAUGGUGCGACGCCGCGUGGGGGAGGAAGGUCUUCGGAUUGUAAACCCCUGUCAUGUGGGAGCAAGGCGCAAGCUUGAUAGUACCACAAGAGGAAGAGACGGCAAACUCUGUGCCAGCAGCCGCGGUAAUACAGAGGUCUCAAGCGUUGUUCGGAAUCACUGGGCGUAAAGGGUACGUAGGCUGCCGUAUAAGUCGUGCGUGAAAGGCAGGGGCUCAACCCCUGGAGUGCGCAUGAUACUGUACGGCUGGAGUAAUGGAGGGGGAACCGGAAUUCUUGGUGUAGCAGUGAAAUGCGUAGAUAUCAAGAGGAAGACUCGUGGCGAAGGCGGGUUCCUGGACAUUGACUGACGCUGAGGUACGAAGGCCGGGGGAGCGAAAGGGAUUAGAUACCCCUGUAGUCCCGGCAGUAAACGGUGCACGCUUGGUGUGCGGGGGAUCGACCCCCUGCGUGCCGAAGCCAACGCGAUAAG